GGCCAGCAGCCGCGGUAAGACGUAGGAGGCGAGCGUUGUCCGGAUUCAUUGGGCGUAAAGAGCACGCAGGCGGUUUGGCAAGUCGGAUGUGAAAACCCGGAGCUCAACUCCGGGCCUGCAUCCGAAACUGCCCGACUAGAGGUAGGUAGGGGAGAUCGGAAUUCCUGGUGUAGCGGUGAAAUGCGCAGAUAUCAGGAGGAACACCGGUGGCGAAGGCGGAUCUCUGGGCCUUACCUGACGCUCAGGUGCGAAAGCUAGGGGAGCGAACAGGAUUAGAUACCCUGGUAGUCCUAGCCGUAAACGUUGGGUGCUAGGUGUGGGCGGACAUCAACCCCGUCCGUGCCGAAGCUAACGCAUUAAGCACCCCGCCUGGGGAGUACGGCCGCAAGGCUAAAACUUAAAGGAAUUGGCGGGGGAC
rnacentral:rRNA from 1 species